AUGUCUCUUUGAAUAAAAAGUAUAAGGAGUCCAGCCUGCCCGGUGACGUGGUUUAACGGCUGCAGUAUUCUGACUGUGCAAAGGUAGCAUAAUAACUUGCCUUUUAAUUGGAGGAUAGAAUCAACGGCUUAACGAGAGCAAGGCUGUCUUUUUUGUUUUUACUAGAAUUUAUCUUUUAAGUUAAAAGACUUAAAUGUAACUGAGGGACGAUAAGACCCUAUUGAGCUUUAAAAAAAUAAAGUUAUUAUUUACUAUUAAUAAGAUUGGUAAUAGUUUUAAAGAAUUUUAGUUGGGGCGACUACGGAGUACAAAAAACCUCCGGAUUAAAAAGUUAAUUUUUAUUUUUGAUCCAUAACGUAUGAUAAGAAGAAUUAGUUACCAUAGGGAUAACAGCGCACAUACCUUUGGGGAGACCACAUUUCUAAGGGAGAUCGCGACCUCGAUGUUGGAUUAAGGUAUACUGAGGGGCGCAGAAGCUUUUUAAGUUAGUCUGUUCGACUAUUAAAUCCUU
rnacentral:rRNA from 1 species